UUCGUAGGCGGAUUAAUAAGUCAGUGGUGAAAUCUCUCGGCUCAACCGGGAAACUGCCAUUGAUACUGUUAAUCUUGAGUUCGGUUGAGGUAGGCGGAAUGUGUAAUGUAGCGGUGAAAUGCUUAGAUAUUACACAGAACACCAAUUGCGUAGGCAGCUUACUAGACCGACACUGACGCUGAGGCACGAAAGCGUGGGUAGCGAACAGGAUUAGAUACCCUGGUAGUCC
rnacentral:rRNA from 1 species